CGGAAGGCAAACAUAGAUAUCUGGUGAGCAGCGAUGCAAGGUUCCAACAUCUUACUCCCUCCGUUCUGAUUUACUCGUCGUGGUUUUAGUUCAAAAACCACGACGAGUAAAUUGGAAUGGAAGGAGUACAUAGCAAGGCACUUCCUGCUGAUGCACCAGAAGAUGAUGUCGUUUCGCUAUUAACACACAUAUAUGACAUAAUCAUUUUCUCAAAGAGGAUAUAAUCAUAUAAUCACGAUAUUUAGCUCCUUCAUAAAGCA
rnacentral:lncRNA from 1 species